UAUAAAAUAAUUUUAUAAAAUUUUUGAAAAUUUAAUAAUGAUUUCAAAAAUAGAGUAAUUGGAAACCUAUACUAUGAUUGUGUUGUUUAUCCAUGAUUUUCAUUAAAUGGAUUACAAUAAAUGUGGGUAUGACUGGUUAUUUUUAUGAUUUUAAGAAUAUGUGAACUGCUUUGAUUUGCCUUGAAUGUGUUAAGUGAGUCAUGUCAUACUAUUGUGAUUUUAUUGGUUGGUGGAUAAUAAAGUGGGCACUGUAGUGAUGGGGGUUCCGUGGGCCAGCCUAAUUAGAGGGGCACGGUUCUCAAUUAUUGAGCUUACCUCGAUUGGAGAGGCACGUAGAAUAACUCCCGAGGUAGGAUUUGUGGGCACUGCAGUGACAGGGGUUCCGUGGGCCAACCUAAUUAGAGGGGCACGGUUCCCAAUUAUUGAGCUUACCUCGAUUGGAGAGGUGCGUAGGAUAACUCCCGAGGUAGAAUUUGAGUACACUUCACGCUAGCCACCACGUGAAAUUAGGACUCAGCCAACGUCAAGGAACGACUGUGUUGUCAGAGGUGAAAUGUGUUUGUGUGUGUGACAAUAAACAGCCUUGGCAGUCUCAGUAAGAUGCCUUCGCAGGGUAUCCCCGAGAAUGGAUUUUUGGCAAGGGCCAAGUUUUUGAAAAGUGCAUAAGCCAUGUUGAGUAAUUGGAUGAAAUCCAAUUAUUUAUAUGGGUUGGGAUGAAUUAUUUUAAUUGUCUCCUAUUACUCGGCUUUAGAUUAUUUUGAUGAUGUCUGUCUACUCACUGGGAUUUUAUAAUCUCACCCCUUCUUCCUAUCCAUUUUUCAAGCUUAGGACAAUUUGUUGAUAGUUGAUUAAAACGAGAAUUAAUCUCAGAGUUGCAUCUUAGAAAGUAAGGGUUCGUAACCCUACAUUUUCUUAGUCAGUUGAGGGCCCACAUGUCAUUGUAAAAGAAAUUUUAUUCUUCAGUUAUUUAAUUUAAAAUAUGUAUGAAUAUAUUUAGCUUUUACACCAUGUUUUUGGCGAGUUUUGGUAUUUUCGAAGAAAAAUGACGAAAAUGCCCCUGUGAGCCAGAAAGUAAUAUUUUAUUGUUUUGAUUUGGAAAUGACUUAUGAUUUUUUUUGAAAUGUGAGAUUUAAUAACUAUCGCUCACUGGGGAGAUGUAGAAGCUGAUGCUAAGCCUUGCGGGGUUUCGAUCGGCAUUCGGGGUAAUGAGUGCCUAUCGGGACGUCGCGGUGGUUGUCACGGGCUCGAUGGGAGUUCCGAGUCGUGACAGUUGGUGCUAGAAACCUACUGUUUGUGUGGUAGAGAUGUCAACUAGAAUUCUCUACCAAAUAGGGUAUUUACAAGCUACCACAUACCUGAAAUGUUUGAAAAUGAGGUGGGUGAGAUUUUGCAAUCCCAAUGAGUAAACAGACAUUAUCAUAAAUAUCUAAAGGCGAGUAAAAUUGAGGCAAGUUUAAACAACAAAUUAUGAACCAUUUCAUAAUGUUUUCAAUUUAUUUCUUAAACCAUAAAAUAUUUGUAAUUUACCAAAACAGUUGUUAAGGCUUAUGUCUUUUAUUAAAAAUAAGGCUCAAGCCAAAACUAAUCCUCGGGGAUACCUUGGCCGAGGCAUCUAACCGAGUCUGC
rnacentral:lncRNA from 1 species